AAAGCUAUAGUAGGCUACUCAGGCGAGGAAACAAGACUGACCAGCAGCAUCGUUCACCGGACUACUGACGACAACUUCCUUUUUCUCCAUCGAAAUAAGAAGGGACUGCAGAUCUGCGUUGUCAGCACCAUCUGUGAGAGUGAAACUCUGCUGGCAUCAAUCCUGAUUUACAGCUGGGCUGCUCCUGUCAGACCGGGUUGGAGGACAAUCAACUGCUGCUGCCGCUGCCGGUCGUGUUCUGUAUGGUGUGGACUUUCUCACGUUGCUGCAGACACACACACACAUACAGGAGCUUGCAUGCCCUGUACUCCCUCUCCUCCCUUCCUCCACCUCU